CAGAAAGUAAGUGGUGAAGUUCAGUAAUUCAAUCCUAGAAGAAAGUGACAUAGUGAUCCGCCUGAGUCUACCCUGGGGUGGGUCUUUAAAGUAGCAUAGUAUAUGAGAUACUAGGGCUUAAAAAUAGGGUCAAGAGGACUCCGGAGUCUGGGACUCUGCCAGCCUAAGAGAAUAGACACACUGAGUAGACGUACUAGUGUAAGAAAUAGGCCCGGGCCGACAGAACACCCCACAGGAAAAGGAGUGGACUCAGUGUAGUAGCACGAUUUGCUGGAGCAGAACUAAUCCAGAUUGGGGCGGGUGAAGGCAGUCCUUCCCGAGGUGACGAAUACUCCACUCCACACCCAUCAACCAGGUGAUUGGGUGCUGAUAAAGGACUUCAGAAGGAAGCGGUGGAACCAGCCCAGGUGGAGAGAACCAUUGCAAGUGCUACUGAUGACUAACACCGCCGUCAAGACCGAUGGAAGAGCGACGUGGGUGCAUCACACGCAUUGUAAAAAGGCACCAGAGGACACAUACUAUCAUGCAUCAGUGUCAUUACAUCUAAAGAUUGGUGCAUACAAAAGUAUGGAGGAGUAGAAUUGGACUACAUGGUGGGCAGUUCUACUGCCUGGACUUUUGACUUAUGUGACGUAAUUAAUUGUGCAGGAAAGAAUUCAUCAUAACGCGGAUAUGACAUACUUAUGUUGGGACAAGGAUGACUUCCAGCUAACUUCCAUGUUUUUACCAUAAUAAUUGAAGGUUUUAGUCAAUGAUUGUAUGAGAAUCAAAGGGGGGAAAUGUAAAGGAAAUGCUACAUGCUUCGGUGAUUCACAUACAGUCAGUAGUAUUAUGUUCUCCAGGGAAAAAUGCUUAUGCAAGCAAAGAACGUUAAGGGAGUGUGACUAUAGAUCAGAUAAACAGGAACUGUCUAUCUUGUUUUACUACACUGCCUGCAAAGAAGAAACGACACCCAAGCAGACCGUUACCAACUGGCGUGAAGAGAUAAGCAACGCUUAAAGCUAAUUGGUCAGAGCAUACAGCCAGAAUUGUAUAUUAAGCAACGCUCUGUAUGCUCGGAGCUCCUCUCGGUAGUGAGCCCCACACUCUGUGGAAUCUUCCUUUUCUAUUAAAACCUUUUUACUUAUUAUCCA